ensembl:lncRNA
AGAAGGGUUUGGGUUUUCCCUCCACUUCUAGGGAAGGGAGCAGGAAGAGGAGUGGAUUUGAGCUAUACGAAGAUUCUGAGCAUCUGCAGCAGUGAAAUGAAGAUUCACAAUUCCAGCCAAGCAAGAAUCUCCUGGGAGCAGCAAGAGCCUCUGAAGAAGCAAUAUUUGGAUGGGAAACUUAUGUCCUCCAAGCUGGCGAGUUGCAACACUGACACAGAUUUUUCUUGUCGCUGCAAAACUCUUCCUGUAGAAGGUAUGAACUCCCUUCUGCCUUCCCCUCCUCCUCCUGUCCGUUACUUAACAACUGGCUGUGAUUUACAUGGUUCAUUAAUGCAAUGGUAACACUGUCACACACAUUCCCAAAUAAACCAGAAGGUUUAUACUUGACCUGGGCCCUCUGUUUGCUGCAGAUGUCCCUGAGGAUUUGAAGAACAGUGAUUUGAAGUGAUUGCAUUGGGUAAGGACAUUACACAAUGCAAAUACAAUUGGACGCGAGCAUUUAAUUUUUAAAAAACACUGCUAUCGGAGAGCCUUUCAGCCAGUGCCAACAACAGUUUAACUUCCCUCACCAGCCUGGCUCUGGAAUCCCCCAAGGACAGAGAAGCAAAGCAGGGCUGGUUUCAAUCCAGAGAGGUUAUGUCCAGUGAUACGGAUGGGAUUGCUCUAAACUGUCCCCCUCAGGCCUCCAUUGGGGUUUUGCCACCCCAAGGGGCAGCAGAUGUGGGGUGUCCCUGUGCUGAUCACCCUAUGGAGCGCAGACAAGCCCCGGGUGCUGGCUUCCCAGCAGUGAGAGCAGCAGGCUCAGGGACAAAUGGCAAAGGUAAUUAGUUGCCACCCCCAGGUGGGAUUUUUAUUGCUCCAUUUGGGUUUUUGUGGAGUGAGGAAUAAAAGGAGAGGGUUUAAAGUGAUCAUUGCAGAAUAAGUGGCAGCUACCUUGUUAAUGUGCUGUGUGCCUACAAACAGCUGCUAGUCAAACACCCAUAAAGGUUGGCUCUGAUGCACAUAACCUUCUGCCUUCCUCCAAAUGGCUUAACUCCAUCGGCUCCUUGCCUUUUCCUAUGCAGGCACAGAAAACUCAGGAUUUGGAGCAUGGAAAGUACAAAUCCAGGGCAGCCAGAGGGGCUCCCACAGGGUCCCCAAAGGUUCCCCUGGGUAUCCCUUUGGAUGUCUUUGAGAAAACCUUUCCCUCUGCUCCCGAAGAAGAGGCUCCCAAAAGCAGCAAGAUGGGGGAGAGAUUCUUCUGGCACACCAAUAGGUCUAAAUUCAAGGAUUCAGAUUUUGCCCUUGCUUUUGCCACCACAAAUGAGAGCUGGAUCCCAACAAGUCUUAACUCCACAGAGCCGGCACUCAUUUCUGUAUGCCUGAGUCCUUCCUCCACCCUUGAAAGCCUUCUGUGAUCAGUGUAACUCUGCCCACCUGAGCAUUUCCCAGCUAUUUACAUAGGAAGAAAUGAGUGUUGCUUUUACUCUCUCUGACUCCCCAAGCUACAGGAAGCAAGGAACCAAGACAGAGGGAGUGGGGAGAGAUGUUCCUACUUCCCCUUGUGACUCUGCAGGCUGUCAGCAGCCUUGGGAGGACACUAACAGGAGGAGGAAGGCAGAUCCUGGUGGGUCCCCACAGGGAGUGAGCCUGGGUAGUGCAGGGAUUAUCUGCAGCAGCUUUUGUUUGGGUCUGAAAGGCAGCACUGAAGGCACUGCAGAGUGUUAUGGCAAUGUGAGGACACUGAAGCACUUCUCAAAGCACCCCUGUGGACCUAUUAAUUGCAAUAUUGGAUCUUUCGUCUUUUUCAGCAGGUUCCCAGCAAUAGGCAUGCAGCCAGCUUGGCUGGGGUUUUGUUUAUUUUCCAGUUAAUGUAGAAGCAGAAUCAAUUCCAGCUAACAAAGCUAGGAAUAUCAGGAAAAAAAAAAAAGUUCAAUUCCCAUGGAUCAUUUGUGGCAUACGCCUGGAAGAUAUUUACUGGUAGCAGGGCAAUUAGGGCAGUGAUAUGGCAGGGGACCAGGAACACCUCCCAGGAGUGGGUGUGAAUCAUAGGAAGCCCGUCAUCAGCAAAGGAGGAGAAGUACCUCUGCUGUGUUGAUUACCACUAGCUAGAUGGGGAAAUUGUGCUUGGAAGCAUGGCAGCACACACAAAACCUGGCUGCAAAUGCUCCCUGCGGCAGUUCUCCCCCCAGGGUGGUAAGAAGCAGCUGAGUGGUGCUCGUCUGACAUCAUCUUGCAAUAAGUGUUACAUGUGACUGCCCAAACUGAGUGACCAGCACUUGUUACCAACCCCAUUAAGCUUUAAGUGGCACUUUUGCCUUGCUCCUUGCUCACUCCUGCUGGGCUUGGGUUAUUUAGCACAUGGGCUCUGGCCAUGUGGUCCAACUGGAGCAUAAACUGCCAGAAACAUAAACACUUGUUCACUUUGCCACUGCCAGAUUUCCCUCACCUUCGUCAGGACAUUGAUGCCAAGAGCAUUAUGUGAAUUCUUGUCAGGAGCAUCUGUGAGUUAUGGAUAUCAAUAUCCAGUGACUUUCUAUAGGUCACAUUUUUUGGCCCCACCAACACACAGCACCACUCUGGGGCUGCCCAGCGCACCUGCUAUGUCCCUGGGGGAUAUUGAACAGACAUAACAUUCAGAGCAUUUGCCUUUUUCAGCAACUUCAGUGGGGUUUCUCUAUGUGCCACCCUUUGGGUUCUGCAGGUCCCUGCUUACCAUGCUCAAACCCUUUGCAUUUAUCUUCUCAGUGUUUCCUUAUUUUUAGAUAUGCAAAUACUUCAGCAGAACAUUUCAAAACCCUGGCUACAUGCAGAUCUGAAGGGCCUUUAAGCUCUUAAAGCCAUAUUCUGAGAAGCGUGAAGAUGUUGUACAGUCCCUUCCCUGGAUCCUGGCUGUUUCUAGCCUCAGUCCCAUCCUGGGCAGCCUUUGGGGAAGGAGAGAUCUGGGCUGAGUGUGCAGGAGGAAUGCAAGUCUUUAGCUUGAAAACGCUGAAUGUGAGUCAUAAUUCUCCAGAAACU